CAGAGAGCAUGGUGAUCUCAUAAACCUGCUUUCAUUUUUUCAAAAUAAGGAAAGCAGGCUACAAAGAACAGUGAAAUUUCGAAAAUGAUGUGUAUAGUUUGAAUAGGAGAGUUUAUAAUUAAAUACUAUAAUCGAAUGUGGAACCAUGAGACCGUGAUUAUAGAAGAGGUACAUAUUGGAUGACUGUGAAUGAUGAACUGAGAAUUGUUCGGACGGGGACCACCGUGACCUGCAUCGCGGUACUGUCAGAAUUUGCCUGAGAGGACAGAGAUUGAAGUGUGGGACUUGCGGAAUACGAGUAAAGAGUGCAGCCGCAAGGGAGAAGAGCCAAAGUGGACCCAAAAUCAGGUGGUCUGAUAAUACAGAAAGACAUUGAAGUACUGA